UAUAAUAACAAAUUGUAUUUGCAGAUGAGUAGAGCAAGGUGGAAACGGCAACAGCAAUCUUUCAACAAAUCUUAAUCCUUUCACACACUCCUCAGCUACAUUAUUAUUGGAUUAUUUUAUAUCAGUAUUAUGGCCUAUACCAAUUGAUCUUGUUAGAUUUUUAUGACUGCUAGUUCCAUGAUUCCUUUCUCCUUGAGAAGAAGACUGCCAAGAAGUGGGUAAAGAAUUUCCAAGGCUGUGUCAAUGGACCUGUUUCAAAAUGACUAUAACCCUAAUAGAUUUGCUGCCUUUUCCAAAGCAGAGUGUGGCAACCGUGAGUAAUAAGCUGCCAGCAAUGCGAACUCUUCCGCCAGAAAUUAUGGUAGGUGAGAGAGAGUUAGGUGCUGAAUUGUUCGAAUCUUUCGGGCUGAAAAUCAGAAAAAGGCACAUUUCUGCUAUUUAAAUCAAUGAAGCACUUCACAAAUGGCAAGCCGCAAGCCCGUAACAUCACGGCCAUCGGAUGAUCGGAUAUCCUUUUCUUAAAUUGGUCAGGUUAGGUGGAUUGGUCAUUGCUUCAUCUGUUACAGUGAUGGGAAACUCUGCAAUGGAUUUUUCCGUAUACUGAAAUUUAAAUGACUCUGUAAAGAAGAAAGGGAGCUUUCUGUUUCGCAGUCGUGAUUCAACAUUAGUUACAAACUCAAUUACGGUACAGAAGCAGUUAUUUUUUUUAUUUCUGUGGUGAAUCGAAACAAAGUGAACUCCAAGAUUCAAGAACCAAAGCGUCAAAAAGUGCAUUCGAAUGUGCUGGAAACUGGAGUUGAUUCAUGCCCUCCUCACCAUAUCGAUUACAAGUGUACUUUGGACGAAACAUUUUGUGUAUGGGGUGGUCAUGCGUCCGCUAAGGUCCAUUACAUUAUCGACGGAUAUUGUGAACAUCUCCAACCGACUAGCCAAAGUGUUUCUGUCUCAACAACUAAGUGACGUUCAAGUUCAAUGUGCGACAUCCUAUUGGUGGACAACGUUGCAGUUCUAUCUGCUGGCAGUGUUCUCUGUCACGUCUUCUUCUGAAUUCUUGGAGUCGCAAAAGAGGAUGGUGGCCGUCAACGACAUUGAAAUCGUCGAUAAUAAAAUGCAAGCCUCGAACCCUGUGCGGGUAAAUGGAUUUCCUUGCGUUAAUCGUGCGGAAGACAUUCUGUAGUGCUACUAGCAAGCUAAUAUAUUCUCAGUUACACUCGAUCCCGAAACUGUUUGAAGAUGCCGUGGAUUAUUUGGUGAAACAUUGCCGCAAGAUUUUUUAUCAGCCCGAAUAGCUAAAUUGGAUGAUUCCGAUUUGUGCAUUCUGGUUACCCAGCGUGUGUCUCCGGUCCUCGCAUCUGAUUCCAACAAGGGCUCAAACAUCGUGGUACACUUGGAUAAACAGCAAAGGAUUUUUUAUUCAAUUUGCAAAGGUCCACAUCCUUGUUCGAAAAUAACCAUCAGGUCAGUUUUAUAUGCCAUCUUUAUUCAAAUCCAUUUUCAGCUUUAUUCAAUUAGAAAGAAACAAUCUAAAUUCCGUUAGUCUGUGAGCAGUUCAAACAAAUAUUUCACAAUUGUUGUGUAGCUCAGAUUUUUCCUAUUUUCCCCUUCACAGCUCAUUGUUGUUUGCC